rnacentral:snoRNA from 1 species
AAACCAUGGUGUGGACAUUGGUUCAAGUAGCUUCUGAACCUCUCAUAUGCUUCUCUAAAUCCUUCAAGAUUCUUCUGUUGAAACCCAGAGAUUUGAUUCCUAAGCUU